rnacentral:snRNA from 1 species
CAGAGAUUAGCAUGGCUCCUGUGCAAGAAUGACACACAAAUUCAUGAGGAGUUCCACAUUGUG